GACUUAGGAUACUCAACAGAGAAUGAAUUUCCUGGAAAAACCGACAGAAAAUGAAAGUUUUGUUUUUUAGUCAAAGACAUUGACAAGUCUUCCAAGUGCGUGUGAAAAUUUCACCUUAAUGGGCCUGCCUCCUCCUAAAAAUUACAGAGCACUUUGGUACCAUAAUUUCCUCUAAACUUAUAGGAAGUUACGUAGAAGAAGAACACCUUCAAGUUCAACAUGAUUAUUUUCUUGCCAUGAUUAUGCUGGCAUCUCACAAUUCCACUCUUUCCUCUGUUUGGUCACUGUAUGUGGUUACUUUUCUUCUUGGUGGUGCGUGCCUCAACUUUUUCAGAAGAUUUCUCAACUAACCGCUCUCUUCAGCAAGAGUCACAGAAGAUCUCCUCCCAUUCAAGCGUCUUCUUCUGUUCGGCCGGGUUUACUUCUUAUCUCAAUUUUGUUCUUGCUUUCUGCAGCUGCAGGUGUUGCAGCAGUGGAAAUGUCAUGUAGAGUAGUAGAACUCAAAAUCUCUAGUGAAGUUGGUGACAAGGAUGACACAUUACUGUCAUGUGGAGCUGCAAAAACUUCAUGAAUGCAUUUUCUAUCUACCAAGGCAAGUGUUGGUUUGAAGAAGGCUUUUGGAUGAAAUUGCUCUUCAGAUCUACUUUGAGCAUCAAGACUCGAAGCUUAGUUUGUGCUCCAACAUGUUGGAGUGCUACCUCCCAUAAACUAAUAGAUGUUGAGACGAUGGUCAUCUGGGAAGAGAUAUCAAGGUGCAUUGUAUUCAACAACCACUUAAACAAGAGUUGAUCUGCAGCUACCCAAUCUUCAAAUUCUGGGUUUAAUGUUGUCACAUUGUUUUCUGUGAUAAAUUGAGGGGGACACUUGUUUAUGCCAUAGAGAAAGCCCUCAAGUUUGUGACCCUUAAUAAUAGGCAGAAUAUGAAUAUGCCAGAUUAGGAAAUUUGUGCCAUCCAGCUUGAUGGCACAUGGCUGAUUCAUGCCAUUUGAACCUUCAAUAUUUUUUGGGAGGUUAUUUGCUAAGAGUAGAGAGUUUGAAGCAGACCCAAGAGAGCUACUGUUGCUGUGAGAAGCAUUUAAAGUUUCUAUGGUAAUUAACCUUGUAAAGCUCUGAUACUAAAAAUGUAAAUAUGAGAAACAGAUUGUGUCAAAUGGUGGCGCAACUGUCUCUCUUAAUUUAUUAUUA